GAUGAACGCUGGCGGCGUGCCUAAUACAUGCAAGUCGAGCGAACAGACGAGGAGCUUGCUCCUCUGACGUUAGCGCCGGACGGGUGAGUAACACGUGGAUAACCUACCUAUAAGACUGGGAUAACUUCGGGAAACCGGAGCUAAUACCGGAUAAUAUAUUGCACCGCAUGGUUCAAUAGUGAAAGACGGUUUUGCUGUCACUUAUAGAUGGACCCGCGCCGCAUUAGCUAGUUGGUAAGGUAACGGCUUACCAAGGCGACGAUGCGUAGCCGACCUGAGAGGGUGAUCGGCCACACUGGAACUGAGACACGGUCCAGACUCCUACGGGAGGCAGCAGUAGGGAAUCUUCCGCAAUGGGCGAAAGCCUGACGGAGCAACGCCGCGUGAGGGAUGAAGGUCUUCGGAUCGUAAAACUCUGUUAUUAGGGAAGAACAAAUGUGUAAGUAACUAUGCACGUCUUGACGGUACCUAAUCAGAAAGCCACGGCUAACUACGUG
rnacentral:rRNA from 1 species